GUCACCCGUUCCAGCAGCGCUGUGCACAGUCAGCCUACUGUAACACGAAGCAGAAGUGGGAGGCUCCUGUAUUUCUUCUCUUCUUGGACUGCGUGUGGCAGAUCCUUCGUCAGUUUCCCUGUUCUUUUGAAUUUAAUGAGAAUUUCCUCAUCAUGCUCUUUGAGCAUGCUUAUGCCUCACAGUUUGGAACAUUUCUGGGCAACAAUGAAAGUGAAAGUUUAUUACAUGAUAAAGAGUGUUCCAGAGUUUUAGAAUUAUUAUGAAGCCUGUUCAUUGUAUGUGGAUAUAGAUUAAAUAUGUAUUUACGUCAAGAUUCACAUUGAUUUUUCAUCUUUGACAAUCUGUAUUUUAUGUACAUGUAAGUUAUUUUCCCUGAA
rnacentral:lncRNA from 1 species